GUUGGUAUGGAGACGUCACGCUAGGUUGGUAUGGAGACGUCACGCUAGGUUGGUAUGGAGACGUUACGCUAGGUUGGUAUCGAGACGUUACACUAGGUUGGUAUGGAGACGUCACGCUAGGUUGGUAGUGAUGUCACGCUAGGUUGGUAUGGAGACGUCACACUAGGUUGGUAUGGAGACGUCACGCUAGGUUGGUAUGGAGACGUCACGCUAGGUUGGUAGUGAUGUCACGCUAGGUUGGUAUGGAGACAUCACACUAGGUUGGUAUGGAGACGUUACGCUAUGUUGGUAUGGAGACGUCACGCUAGGUUGGUAUGGAGACGUCACGCUAGGUUGGUAUGGAGACGUCACGCUAGGUUGUUAUCGAGACGUCACACUAGCAAUAACCCGCAAAGUUGGGGUCAAGUCAGUCCAUUCCAGUCAAUAAAGCAUGCACACUCAAAUUUCCAUUCCAACUUUUUAAAAUUAUUUUCAUUUUGAAAUUGGCAGUAAUAAAUUAAAAACAGCAUAUUGUCGUCUUGAUAAUAGAAAAUGUUAAAUGAACAGUCAAAUUUCUGGUCCUGGUCACAAUUCUUCUUUCUAUUUGAAUGUUGGUUACUGUGUUUAAUUGCAUGAUUAUCUUUCAUUGCAGAUUACCAAGGUUUAUAAUAAAUUCCCAGGCUUCCUUCUUUGCUUUGUCAACUCAUUCAAGUAAGUAAAUGAUUAUGCCCCACUGAUUUAAUUACAGUAACGAUAGCUAUAGAUCAUUUAUUUAAUUACAGUAAUGAUAGCUAUAGAUCAUUUAUUUAAUUACAGUAAUGAUAGCUAUAGAUAAUUUAUUGCUGAAUUAUGUUCUUACUAUAAAUUGUAUCUCAUGAAAUACCUUAUACAGUGUCUGUCAAA
ensembl:lncRNA